CCUUCAUACAAGUUUGCUGCUAGGAGCCCUCUCCGGAGGGGACUCAAUUCAAGGUUGGACGAAAAUAGGACUGUCUUAAUAAGAUAAAUAGGUCAUCAGAGGACCCAACGACUUUUAUUUUUUCGUGAAAGCAAGGGCAUAGGAAUCCUAAAAAAUGUCUAUAGCUUUUCUAGCUGGGUGCCCUUAAUCUUGAAAGCUUGGUCUAAAAGUCUGGAUACUAUAAGGUUCGAAUUUCUGGGUCUUGAAUUAGAUUGGAUAGCGGGGCAGGGAAGAAGAUGAGGAGAUAACGGGCGAAUAAGGAACCUUAGAAACCGCUAAAAAAAGAUUUCCAGAUUCUCUGUUUCGGUCCUCUUACUAGAUCUAAAUUUUCUAGCUCUUACAGCAAACAGCAAUAGCUACCUUUACAGUUCCGAAGAAUCUCGAUAGUAGUGUAAAAGUUGGUAAUUCCAUGAUACAAAAAGAUUGUAUGUCGAUUUAGCAUGAGGUGUGUGAUGCAUAGCUAAAAAA
rnacentral:misc_RNA from 1 species